GACGAACGCUGGCGGCGUGCUUAACACAUGCAAGUCGAACGGAAAGGCCCUGCUUUUGUGGGGUGCUCGAGUGGCGAACGGGUGAGUAACACGUGAGUAACCUGCCCUUGACUUUGGGAUAACUUCAGGAAACUGGGGCUAAUACCGGAUAGGAGCUCCUGCUGCAUGGUGGGGGUUGGAAAGUUUCGGCGGUUGGGGAUGGACUCGCGGCUUAUCAGCUUGUUGGUGGGGUAGUGGCUUACCAAGGCUUUGACGGGUAGCCGGCCUGAGAGGGUGACCGGCCACAUUGGGACUGAGAUACGGCCCAGACUCCUACGGGAGGCAGCAGUGGGGAAUAUUGCACAAUGGGCGGAAGCCUGAUGCAGCAACGCCGCGUGCGGGAUGACGGCCUUCGGGUUGUAAGCCGCUUUCGCCUGUGACGAAGCGUGAGUGACGGUAAUGGGUAAAGAAGCACCGGCUAACUACGUGCCAGCAGCCGCGGUGAUACGUAGGGUGCGAGCGUUGUCCGGAUUUAUUGGGCGUAAAGGGCUCGUAGGUGGUUGAUCGCGUCGGAAGUGUAAUCUUGGGGCUUAACCCUGAGCGUGCUUUCGAUACGGGUUGACUUGAGGAAGGUAGGGGAGAAUGGAAUUCCUGGUGGAGCGGUGGAAUGCGCAGAUAUCAGGAGGAACACCAGUGGCGAAGGCGGUUCUCUGGGCCUUUCCUGACGCUGAGGAGCGAAAGCGUGGGGAGCGAACAGGCUUAGAUACCCUGGUAGUCCACGCUGUAAACGGUGGGUACUAGGUGUGGGGUCCAUUCCACGGGUUCCGUGCCGUAGCUAACGCUUUAAGUACCCCGCCUGGGGAGUACGGCCGCAAGGCUAAAACUCAAAGGAAUUGACGGGGCCCCGCACAAGCGGCGGAGCAUGCGGAUUAAUUCGAUGCAACGCGUAGAACCUUACCUGGGUUUGACAUGGAUCGGGAGCGCUCAGAGAUGGGUGUGCCUCUUUUGGGGUCGGUUCACAGGUGGUGCAUGGCUGUCGUCAGCUCGUGUCGUGAGAUGUUGGGUUAAGUCCCGCAACGAGCGCAACCCUUGUUCACUGUUGCCAGCACGUUAUGGUGGGGACUCAGUGGAGACCGCCGGGGUCAACUCGGAGGAAGGUGGGGAUGACGUCAAGUCAUUAUGCCCCUUAUGUCCAGGGCUUCACGCAUGCUACAAUGGCUGGUACAGAGAGUGGCGAGCCUGUGAGGGUGAGCGAAUCUCGGAAAGCCGGUCUCAGUUCGGAUUGGGGUCUGCAACUCGACCUCAUGAAGUCGGAGUCGCUAGUAAUCGCAGAUCAGCAACGCUGCGGUGAAUACGUUCCCGGGGCU
rnacentral:rRNA from 1 species